GAUGAACGCUGGCGGCGUGCCUAAUACAUGCAAGUAGAACGCUGAAGGAAGGAGCUUGCUCUUUCCGGAUGAGUUGCGAACGGGUGAGUAACGCGUAGGUAACCUGCCUGGUAGCGGGGGAUAACUAUUGGAAACGAUAGCUAAUACCGCAUAACAGUAGAUGUUGCAUGAUAUCUACUUAAAAGGUGCAAUUGCACCGCUACCAGAUGGACCUGCGUUGUAUUAGCUAGUUGGUGAGGUAACGGCUCACCAAGGCGACGAUACAUAGCCGACCUGAGAGGGUGAUCGGCCACACUGGGACUGAGACACGGCCCAGACUCCUACGGGAGGCAGCAGUAGGGAAUCUUCGGCAAUGGACGGAAGUCUGACCGAGCAACGCCGCGUGAGUGAAGAAGGGUUUCGGAUCGUAAAGCUCUGUUGUAAGAGAAGAACGAGUGUGAGAGUGGAAAGUUCACACUGCGACGGUAUCUUACCAGAAAGGGACGGCUAACUACGUG
rnacentral:rRNA from 1 species